rnacentral:rRNA from 1 species
CCUACGGGUGGCAGCAGUGAGGAAUAUUGGUCAAUGGGCGAGAGCCUGAACCAGCCAAGUCGCGUGAAGGAGUACUGCCCUAUGGGUUGUAAACCUCUUUUGUCUGGGAGCAAAAGCCGGACGUGUCCGGCUGUGAUAGUACCCUAAUGAAAAUCAUCGGCUAACUCCGGUCCAACAGCCGCGGUAAUACGGGGGAUGCGAGCUUUAUCCGGUUUUAUUGGGUUAAAAGGGUUCGCAGGCGGAUUUUUAAGUCAGCGGUAAAAUCGUGGGGCUCAACCCCAUCAAGCCGUUGAAACUGGGGAUCUAGAGUGUGCGAGAGGUAUGCGGAAUGCGUGGUGUAGCGGUGAAAUGCAUAGAUAUCACGCAGAACCCCGAUUGCGAAGGCAGCAUACCGGUGCACAACUGACGCUCAGGCACGAAAGCGUGGGUAUCGAACAGGAUUAGAUACCCUGGUAGUC